GACGAACGCUGGCGGCGUGCUUAACACAUGCAAGUCGAACGGAAAGGCCCUGCUUUUGCGGGGUGCUCGAGUGGCGAACGGGUGAGUAAUACGUGAGUAACCUCUCCUUGACUUUGGGAUAACAUCAGGAAACUGGGGCUAAUACCGGAUAGGAGCUCCUGCAGCAUGGUGGGGGUUGGAAAGUUUCGGCGGUUGGGGAUGGACUCGCGGCUUAUGAGCUUGUUGGUCGGGUAGGUGCUUACCAAGGCUUUGACGGGUAGCCGGCCUGAGAGGGUGGCCGGCCACCUUGGGACUGAGGUACGGCCCAGACUCCUACGUGAGGCAGCAGUGGAGAAUAUUGCACAAUGGGCGGAAGCCUGAUACAGCAACGCCCCGUGCGUGAUGACGGCCUUCGGGUUGUAAACCGCUUUCGCCUGUGACGAAGCGUGAGUGACGGUAAUGAGUAAAAAAGCACCGGCUAACUACGUG
rnacentral:rRNA from 1 species